AUGAGGGCGACCAGUCUACUGCGGUUGCUCUUGAUCUGCUUCUACCUCCUUUUGGUCCACACCUUCGGCGCCUCCGGUGUUGGUGACAAGCUCGAGAAGGGCCAGAACCUCACCGACGGCGACACGCUCGUCUCGGCCGGUGGCUCCUUCACCCUCGGCUUCUUCUCUCCCGGGGCGUCCACCAAGAGGUACCUCGGCAUAUGGUUCUCCGUGUCCAACGGCACCGCCGUCUGCUGGGUUGCCAACCGCGACCAACCUCUGGUCGACAAGUCCGGCAUGCUGGUGCUCAACGACCUCGGCAGCCUCGUUCUGUUAGAUGGUUCCCGCCGGACGGUCUGGUCUUCAGACUUCUCCGCCGGCGCUUCUGCGGUGGUGGCGCAGCUUCUCGUGUCCGGCAGCCUGGUCGUACACAAUGGCAGCAGCGACGCCUCCCUGUGGCAGUCGUUCGACCAUCCGUCGGACACCUUGCUGCCUGACAUGAAGCUCGGCAAGAACCGCUGGAGCGGAGCCGAGUGGCAGCUCACGUCGUGGCGCUCGGCCGACGACCCGGCUCCGGGGGACUACCGCCGCACGCUGGAAAGCAAGGGGUUACCGGAGCUCGUGGUGUGGCGUGGCAACGUCAAGACGUACCGCACGGGGCCGUGGAACGGGCUCUACUUCAACGGCGUCCCGGAGGUGUCGGCGUACGCGGGCAAAUACCCUCUGCGGGCGACGACGAGCCCGUGGGAGGUCACCUACGGGUACACCGCCGCGCCCGGCGCGCCGCUGACCCGCGUCGUGGUGAACCACACCGGCAAGGCGGAGCGGUGGGAGUGGGACGCGAGCAGCUGGGCGUGGACUCGUAUAUUCCAGGGGCCGAGGGACCCGUGCGACGAGUACGGGAGAUGCGGGCCGUUCGGCCUCUGCGACCCCGAGGCCGCGUCGUCGGGGUUCUGCGGCUGCGUCGACGGGUUCAGCAUCCCUGCCGCCACGACCCUGUCGGCGCAGGCGGUGAAGGGUACCACCUGCCGAAGACAUGCAGCCCUGGACUGUGCCGGCGGCACUACGACGGACGGCUUCGUGGUGGUGCGGGGGGUGAAGCUUCCCGACACGCAGAACGCGUCGGUGGACAUGGGCGUCACGCUGGAGGAGUGCAGGGCGAGGUGCUUCGCCAACUGCUCGUGCUUGGCCUACGCCGCCGCCGACAUCAGGGGAGGCGGCGAUGGUUCCGGCUGCGUCAUGUGGACGGAUGCCAUCGUUGAUCUACGUCUCGUGGCCAUGGGGCAGAAUCUCUACCUGAGGUUGUCAAAAUCAGAACUUGAUGACCAUAAAAAGUUCCUUGUUCUACUCGUUUCCAUACCUUUAGCUUCGAUUGUUAUUAUUAUACUGGUCGUCUUUGCAAUUUGGUGGAGAAGGAAGCGCACAAUCAUAGGUGCUAUUCCUCAGAGCCAUGCCAUGGCCGUUCCCUUAGUUAGUCUAGCGAUUAUAAAGGAUGUCACUGGAAAUUUCUGCGAAAGCAAUAUGAUCGGCCAAGGUGGAUUUAGCAUCGUUUACAAGGGGCAGCUGCCUGAAGGAAGAACAAUUGCUGUCAAGAGGCUUAAGCAGUCGGUGCUCACCACAAAAGGCAAGAAAGAUUUUGCAAGAGAAGUGGAGGUGAUGGCUGGGCUCCGGCAUGGUAGUCUUGUCCGUCUCCUUGCCUACUGCAAUGAAAGCAAGGAGCGGAUACUCAUCUACGAAUACAUGCAAAACAAGAGCCUAAACGUCCACAUAUUCAAUAAUCAGUACUCGCUACUUGUUGAAACACAAAUGCUUUCUCAAGUUGCUACGAGAACUGAACUUUCUCGUGCAAUGUCAACCUUCGUGCCUCACUGAACUGGGCAAGGAGACUGGAAUUAAUUCGAGGGAUUGCGCAUGGCAUUGCAUACCUACACGGAGGAUCUGGUGACAAUGUUAUCCAUAGGGAUCUUAAGCCGGGCAACAUUCUGCUAGACGACGAAUGGAAGCCUAAAAUCGCUGACUUUGGAACUGCCAAGCUGUUUGCAGUGGAUCAGACCGGGCCUGAUCAAACAAUUGUAGUUUCACCGGGGUAUGCAGCGCCGGAGUACGCGCGGCAAGGGAACAUGACACUUAAGUGUGACGUCUAUAGUUUCGGAGUUAUUCUCUUGGAGACACUCAGUGGGCGAAGGAACGGUGGCAUGCAGGGCCUCCUUUCACAUGCCUGGGGAUUGUGGGAGACGAACAUGAUCGCGGAACUUUUGGACACAACAAUGGUACCACUCUCUGAGUCCGAGCCUGAGCUCUUGUCCGAGCUGACACGAUGUAUCCAGAUUGGGCUCCUCUGCAUCCAGGAAACUCCUUGUGACAGGCCGACCAUGUCCGCCGUUGUUCCCAUGUUGAUGAGCACGACGUCGCAAAUCGACCGGCCAAGAAGAAGGCCACCUUUGGAUUGCGAAGGAUUCAUGCCUUCAGAUUCAUCACAUGGGCUCGAGACCAAACUCUUGAGAUCAACUACGAUUGAUUUGAC